AUAGGUCCUAAUUCAUUUAACUGCUUUUUAAAUAUGGCUUCCAUACUGAUGACUCCUCUUUUCUUGCUUUUACUGCUUGUGGGUGUAUAUAUAUAUACACAUACAUACAUAUAUUGAAGAAAGGAGAUACGCAAGAAUUAUAAACUACUGAGGAACAGCAUUAAUUUCUUUCAUAAAGAAAAUUCACUUAAGCUCUACUAUAGAGAAGUUAUUGGUCCUCUUUAUUCUGCACUAGUCAAAUAAAAUCUAGAAUACUGUUUUCAGGUUUAGGCACCAUAUUUUAUGAAGAACAUUUACUAACUGGACCAUGUCCACAAAGGAUGUUGUUCUUCUGGGGUAUAUGCUAUAGUCUGGGCUGGGAAGACACUAUCCAGAUUUUUUGCUUAGCUUGGCGAUACAAAGAAUACCUACACAAUAAUAUCUUCAUUGUUUUCCCUUCCCUAGUAUUCUCACCCAAAUUCUGUUAAUUGGAAAUCAUGCUCAAAUUCCUGGAUCUCAAUACAUAUGAGAACUUCUUCCACAUAUGAUGCCAGUCUUCCCUUCUUUUAUCUGAUCUAUUCAUUUAGAUAAGUUGUCAAUCCUUUCAUUCCAUUACAGAUUUUCAUCUCACUAGAUUUCAGUACUUACUAAAUGAUAGUUGUCACUUUGCAUUUAAAUUUAAUUCCCCAGUCCCUGGAUAUUUGUAUAGAAUGUUUCCCAGCCCCUAAUAUCCUUGGAAAAAUAAAAGUGAAGAAUUUGAAGGGAUCUUAGAUGUAAUAACCUGUGCUAAGAGAUCCACCACAAUUUGCUCUGUACUGAUUCUACUGUAAUCUAAUCUAUGGCAUUAUUACUUGGUCUAUUUUUUUUUAUAUUUAUGUAUUCAGUACUGAGUACCUUCACAUCUUACAUAUCCUGACCAAUCCUGUACUGAGACACUAUUUUCUGGGGUAUCUCUUUCUCUCUGUAAGAGCACUUAGUUCUAUACCUAGGGCCCUAGGCUCAAGAAAGCAGGGUGAAUAGUAUGCUGAAUAUGUAACUAAUCCUAAAAAGGAAAUGACAAAUUUAAAUAAAUUAUAAAGUCUGACAAUAUUUAUACAAGAAGUAUCAGAAUAGUUGAGACAAUGAUUUGCCAAAUGGUAAUGUUUGGAUGUGAAAGCUGUACAUUAUCAGAGUGAAGAAAAAACAAUUUAUUUCAAAAUACCACAAAUUGCAAUCCAAAUACAUAUUUUGAAGAAACUGCUAUCCUUUUUUUCACCAGUUUUAAUUGUAGGACCAUGAACUGCAUGAAGAACCAAAAUCAACUUAUGUACUCUGGGCAAGUGGAUGAGGAAAAGGCAGGCAAGCAUGGGAAGCUUCAUUUGCACAUACGUAGAUUAGAUUCAGUAUGCUUAUUAAUACCUCUUAGGACCUUUCAUUUUAUUCUGUGAGAGUUCAUCUGCGAGCCAGUGGUUUCUAGGAUAUUGCUAAGGUCAGUCAAUGACUUCUCAUUUUUAAGGUCAUAAAACCUAUAACAAAGAAUGGAAGUGCAACAGAAAAAAAAGGCAGUGUAUUUGAAGACUUGUGGAUGUAAGUUAAUUUGUAUCCUUACUCUAAGACAAAAUGAUAUAUGACUUCAUCUGAGUAUAUAAUUAUUUCUUAUCUAGCUAUGUAACAUCAUGUAUCUAGAAGUCUUCAGCUGACUUCAAGCCUAGUAGCCAAACUGAGACAGCUAUCCAAUAAUUUCUGCUGAGAUAACCUAGUGGCUUGACUCUUUCCUUUUUCCCAUUACUACAACAACUAUACCCAAGGAUCCAAACAAUGACUAUUGACCACUGGGAGCUCCACAAACUAUCCAUCUAUAAGGCAAUGUUUUGUUCCAGUAUCAGACCACAUAACUCCCUGAUGGACUAGCUAACCCAACAGGUGGGAUAGAACCAGAGUCUUCUAGUGGGGGUUCAGGCGAAUGCAAUAACUGCUACUGGGAUAGUUGUAGCCCUUCAACUCUGUUCCUACUUUCCUAUUAGAUGAAUAUGACAGAAAUCCAAGCAAAUGUUUUGACUUCCUUGCUCAGUAAAAAGCUCUACAUCUGUGUUCAGAUAACUCUUCCAAUGGCCAUGCUCAUAUAGGAAUUGAAUUAACUUAAUGACGAGGGCGCUACAAAGUGAGCUGCAAAGUGAACAAUUACCCUCUGAUUCAAGUCAGCUUGGAUCUGAAAAUUUACAUGAAUUUUGUGCCAUGCCUGAGAUUUAAUUUAGAGGAAUCUUGCUUGACAGAUAACCAGGAAAUUUGCCAUCUCAUUUGGGGUUUUAAGAUUUUGCUCAAUCAUCUCAUUUUGCGCAUAAAAAAAUCAAUAAAUUGGCUAACCAUCAGACAAUCAAAAAAUGCUGGAAAUGGAUAGAAAAAAGCCAGUCAAACAUAAGUAGCUGUUUUCUCCCCUCUGAUCUUGCCAACUGUGACUAUUCCAGAACUAGCGUGAACAACAAUGUUCUCAACAAACAUGAAAGCAAAUCUGAAGAUGAAGUAAGUUAUUAGUAUGUUGGUUAAGUUGAGGAAUUGAAAGCUGCAGCAUCCAUCAUUCUCUUCCUCCUGUCUCCAAGAUGCUGCUGCCAUCAUAGCAGUGACCUGGAACCAAAGAACCAUCUGUGAUUUUACUGGGAGACCUUGGGAGAGGAAAUUGUCCAAAAUUGUUAUUGUCCUAAUGAACUAGGAAGGGGUACUAUAAUAUAUCAUGCAAAAUAUGAUUAUCAACAUAGGUAACGUAUUACAAUUGCUUUGUGAUUUGUUUGGUUUGCUUUUCCACAGAAAUAUCUAUAUUUUUUACUUCUCCACAGUAUCUCUAUGAAAUAGCUUUAUUUCUCUUUUUCAUCAUUGCAAUGAUAUUUGGUGGAGAGGAUAUUUUUAAUCAGUUUGGAUGAAUCCCUGUGAGCUGUUUGGCUUAGCACAACACGGGAAGACUCACCAUUCAAGGGUUAACUUGGGGAUUCUAAGUACAUACACUGGAAAAUGAUAUAAUAUGGCUCUUAUCCCUUAUUAUAAAAUAAAUUGAAUUAAUAAAUAUGCAUGGCUAAAGUGCAAAAAGGUAGAACCAAAUUUCUAUAUUCCUGUUAUCGUUUGCAUUUGCAUUGUUAUUCCAUGCUUCUUAGUCUUCAAGCUGCUACUGUUAAAAGUUGUUGUUAUUCUGUUGUUUGAAGUGAAUUAUUUAUCUCCUGAAGAAUCAAGGGAGCAUGGAACUGACCACUUAUAAAGUUGAAA